GACGAACCGUCCUAACGUUGUUCGGAAUCACUGGGCUUAAAGGGCGCGUAGGCGGCUUGCCAAGUCAGGGGUGAAAUCCUGCAGCUUAACUGUAGAAGGGCCUUUGAUACUGGCAAGCUCGAGGGAGGUAGGGGUAUGUGGAACUUCCGGUGGAGCGGUGAAAUGCGUUGAUAUCGGAAGGAACGCCGGUGGCGAAAGCGACGUACUGGACCUCUUCUGACACUGAGGCACGAAAGCGUGGGGAUCGAACAGG
rnacentral:rRNA from 1 species